ACGCUGGCGGCGUGCCUAAUACAUGCAAGUAGAACGCUGAAGGAGGAGCUUGCUUCUCCGGAUGAGUUGCGAACGGGUGAGUAACGCGUAGGUAACCUGCCUGGUAGCGGGGGAUAACUAUUGGAAACGAUAGCUAAUACCGCAUAAGAGUAGAUGUUGCAUGACAUUUGCUUAAAAGGUGCAAUUGCAUCACUACCAGAUGGACCUGCGUUGUAUUAGCUAGUUGGUGGGGUAACGGCUCACCAAGGCGACGAUACAUAGCCGACCUGAGAGGGUGAUCGGCCACACUGGGACUGAGACACGGCCCAGACUCCUACGGGAGGCAGCAGUAGGGAAUCUUCGGCAAUGGACGGAAGUCUGACCGAGCAACGCCGCGUGAGUGAAGAAGGUUUUCGGAUCGUAAAGCUCUGUUGUAAGAGAAGAACGAGUGUGAGAGUGGAAAGUUCACACUGUGACGGUAUCUUACCAGAAAGGGACGGCUAACUACGUGCCAGCAGCCGCGGUAAUACGUAGGUCCCGAGCGUUGUCCGGAUUUAUUGGGCGUAAAGCGAGCGCAGGCGGUUAGAUAAGUCUGAAGUUAAAGGCUGUGGCUUAACCAUAGUACGCUUUGGAAACUGUUUAACUUGAGUGCAAGAGGGGAGAGUGGAAUUCCAUGUGUAGCGGUGAAAUGCGUAGAUAUAUGGAGGAACACCGGUGGCGAAAGCGGCUCUCUGGCUUGUAACUGACGCUGAGGCUCGAAAGCGUGGGGAGCGAACAGGAUUAGAUACCCUGGUAGUCCACGCCGUAAACGAUGAGUGCUAGGUGUUAGACCCUUUCCGGGGUUUAGUGCCGUAGCUAACGCAUUAAGCACUCCGCCUGGGGAGUACGACCGCAAGGUUGAAACUCAAAGGAAUUGACGGGGGCCCGCACAAGCGGU
rnacentral:rRNA from 1 species